rnacentral:rRNA from 1 species
UAGGGAAUCUUCCACAAUGGACGCAAGUCUGAUGGAGCAACGCCGCGUGAGUGAAGAAGGUUUUCGGACCGUAAAGCUCUGUUGUUGGUGAAGAGGGAUAGAGGUAGUAACUGGCCUUUAUUUGACGGUAAUCAACCAGAAAGUCACGGCUAACUACGUGCCAGCAGCCGCGGUAAUACGUAGGUGGCAAGCGUUGUCCGGAUUUAUUGGGCGUAAAGCGAGCGCAGGCGGAAGAAUAAGUCUGAUGUGAAAGCCCUCGGCUUAACCGAGGAAUUGCAUCGGAAACUGUUUUCUUGAGUGCAGAAGAGGAGAGUAGAACUCCAUGUGUAGCGGUGGAAUGCGUAGAUAUAUGGAAGAAUACCAGUGGCGAAGGCGGCUCUCUGGUCUGCAACUGACGCUGAGGCUCGAAAGCAUGGGUAGCGAACAGGAUUAGAUACCCUGGUAGUCCAUGCCGUAAACGAUGAGUGCUAAGUGUUGGGAGGCUUCCGCCUCUCAGUGCUGCAGCUAACGCAUUAAGCACUCCGCCUGGGGGAGUACGACCGCAAGGUUGAAAC